rnacentral:rRNA from 1 species
CCUCGGAACUGCAUUGGAAACUGAUUUACUUGAGUGCGAUAGAGGCAAGUGGAACUCCAUGUGUAGCGGUGAAAUGCGUAGAUAUGUGGAAGAACACCAGUGGCGAAAGCGGCUUGSUAGAUYGUAACUGACGUUGAGGCUCGAAAGUAUGGGUAGCAAACGGGAUUAGAUACCCCGGUAGUCCAUACCGUAAACGAUGGGUGCUAGUUGUUAAGAGGU